AGCGAACGCUGGCGGCGUGCCUAACACAUGCAAGUCGAACGUGAAAGGGAGCAAUCCCAAGUAAAGUGGCGUACGGGUGAGUAACACGUAGGUAAUCUACCCCAGAAUCUGGAAUAACCGGCCGAAAGGCUGGCCAAUACUGGAUAGAGCGACGGAAUCCGUAAUUGGGUUUUUCGGGAAAGGGAGCCUGUAAAAAGGCCUUCGUUCUGGGAUGAGCCUGCGUCCCAUCAGCUAGUUGGUGAGGUAAAAGCUUACCAAGGCAAUGACGGGUAGCUGGUCUGAGAAGACGGACAGCCACACUGGAACUGGAACACGGUCCAGACUCCUUCGGGAGGGAGCAGGGGGGGAACUUGCGGAAUGGGCGGAAGUCUGACGCAGGCACGCCGGGGGGGGGGAGGAGGCCUUCGGGUUGUAAAGCUCCUUCGAGUAGGAAGAAAAUGCUUGGAGUUCACAGCUCCAGGAACUGACGGUACCAAUAAAGGAAGCACCGGCUAACUCCGUG
rnacentral:rRNA from 1 species